rnacentral:rRNA from 1 species
CCUACGGGUGGCAGCAGUGGGGAAUAUUGCACAAUGGGGGAAACCCUGAUGCAGCGACGCCGCGUGAGUGAAGAAGUCAUUCGUUAUGUAAAGCUCUAUCAGCAGGGAAGAAAAUGACGGUACCUGAGUAAGAAGCCCCGGCUAACAACGUGCCAGCAGCGGCGGUAAUACGUAGGGAGCAAGCGUUAUCCGGAUUUACUGGGUGGAAAGGGAGCGUAGACGGGAGUGCAAGUCUGGAGUGAAAGUCGGGGGGUCAACCCCCGGACUGCUGUGGAAACUGUACGUCUGGAGUGCAGGAGAGGUACGUGGAAUUCCUAGUGUAGCGGUGAAAUGCGUAGAUAUUAGGAAGAACACCAGUGGCGAAGGCGGCUUACUGGACUGUAACUGACGUUGAGGCUCGAAAGCGUGGGGAGCAAACAGGAUUAGAUACCCGAGUAGUC